CGGGUGAGUAACACGUAUGCAACCUGCCUGCCACAGCCGGAUAAUCGGGAGAAAUUCCGUCUAAUACGGCAUAAUGCAUCGACGGGACAUCCUGUUGGUGCCAAAGGUUAAUUCCGGUGGCGGAUGGGCAUGCGUCGCAUUAGUUAGUUGGCGGUGCAACGGACCACCAAGACGACGAUGCGUAGGGGUUCUGAGAGGAAGGUCCCCCACACUGGUACUGAGACACGGACCAGACUCCUACGGGAGGCAGCAG
rnacentral:rRNA from 1 species